UAGGGCAGCUGUCAGCAGUGCAGGAAGCUGACUAUUAAGGGGAAACAAAAGUGUUAUUAGGAGUCCUGCUGUCACAGUGGUUUGAGCAUCCUGAGCCCUGAGGCUGUUUCUGGUGGUGGACCUCCUCCUCCUCAGUAGGGAUGGGUAGAGGAAGCAGCUAGAGGCCUUGGCAGUGAGGAACCCUAAGG
ensembl:misc_RNA